ACUGUGUACGCACAAUCACUGCUCAUCCAUCAGCCACGCUGCCCAGGUGCUGCUACUGCAGGUGCAGCCAUGCUUCCGGAUUCUGUAGAACAAGCUCACUGCCUCCCUCCUCCCUACCAUAAUUCUGGAAUACUGAAAAAGAAAAUUUGAGUUUGAAGAAAAAUGGAUCUGGUCUAAAAGCAACUCCGUCAUCCUCUGGUACAAAACAGCAACUGGCUUCCUGUGUGAUCAGCAAUGUGUUAUCUAGUUUGGGGGAGGGAACGUUCUCAUUCAUGAUGAGUCAGUAGUUGUUACGAUCCUGAUGCUCAGGACAGGGGAGAUCUUAUGCAGUGAGUCCAGAGCACCAGGACGUGAUGCUGGGAUAGGGAAAUGGAAUGGAAAUAGCCCCUAGCACCCUACCUCCGUUGUCUUACCCGUGUUGUCAAUUCACGCCUGAACGACUAUGGUUUCUUGGGCCCACGGCAGCCGCGUUUGAAGGGCGGAUUAGGUCUGCCCAACUCCGAUGCCCCCAGGUCUUAAAGAGAGACAAAGCGUGAACUGAGACAGGGUAAUAACAAGGGCACCUCUAACUGAAACAACCAAGCUAGGGGCUACUAACUACCUGAAAACUAAACGUAUGUGCGGCACACCGCCAAAGGAAAAGAACUACAAAGGAUACCACUGUCCACUCCCCCACACGGCAUCGCCGAGUUCCGGGGAGGACAGUGAAAGCGGAAACCUCCGCAAAAGCACCAACUCAAAGAAACACAAAUACUAAGCAGCCUAGGCCGCAACACGCGGCAGAAGCCGCUACUCACGAAACCGGGCGAGAACCCCAGAUGACAGUAACAGGUUCACAAGGACCAGAAGGAUUCCCAGGAACGGCUUCAGAACUUCAGAAUACAAGUGGGCAGGGAGCAGGAUCGACCAGAUGCAGCUGACCAGGAAUAAACUUCUACAAGGCAGGAACAGCAUACAGGAAGCUAUCACCGGCGUUUGUGUGAGACACUGAGGAGGCAUAUAACAGGGAACCCACCAAUGGCAGUACAGAGCCUAAUUGAUAAAUGUCGUGCAGCUGCCUUGCUGCACGACCAGGGGAGAACAGGUGAGUAAUCUUAUGGCAACGGGGAACGCGGUCCACCUGUGGCGUCCCCGUUGCCAUGGACCCGGCGGCCCUGCACGCACGGCAUCCUAGCGUUGCCAGGGACCCGGCGGCUAUCGUGCGCACGGCGUCCCGGCGUUGCUAGGCGCCGUGCGGAAGCAGGGAGAGAGAGAGGCGCGGCGGCCGUGAUCGCUGCUCUGUCAGGGCACGGCCGAACACCGCCGUGCCUAACACUAGUCUGUGUAUAUGAUAACCAGGUUCAGCCAAAUCAGACAUCAAAAGGGGCUGGCCUGAGCUUCCUGUCCACUACCUGUUUGGAAUAUCUAUUGUUCUAAUAAAAGUGAUUUUAGAUUUUA